GGAAGAUGCGAGCGUUAUCCGGAUUUAUUGGGUUUAAAGGGAGCGUAGGCGGGACUGCAAGUCAGAUGUGAAAACCAUGGGCUCAACCCAUGGCCUGCAUUUGAAACUGUAGUUCUUGAGUGAUGGAGAGGCAGGCGGAAUUCCGUGUGUAGCGGUGAAAUGCGUAGAUAUACGGAGGAACACCAGUGGCGAAGGCGGCCUGCUGGACAUUAACUGACGCUGAGGCGCGAAAGCGUGGGGAGC
rnacentral:rRNA from 1 species